UCCGGGUUCUAAGUAGUAGUGCCGCAGGUAACCAACAAUUGAGAGGUUUACCUAUAGCCUUCUGCUUAACACCUUGA
rfam:Pristionchus pacificus strain PS312 contig4185, whole genome shotgun sequence.